rnacentral:rRNA from 1 species
UGCAGUCGAACGGUGAAGCAGGAGCUUGCUCUUGUGGAUCAGUGGCGAACGGGUGAGUAACACGUGAGCAACCUGCCCCGGACUCUGGGAUAAGCGCUGGAAACGGCGUCUAAUACUGGAUAUGAGACGUGACCGCAUGGUCAACGUUUGGAAAGAUUUUUCGGUCUGGGAUGGGCUCGCGGCCUAUCAGCUUGUUGGUGAGGUAAUGGCUCACCAAGGCGUCGACGGGUAGCCGGCCUGAGAGGGUGACCGGCCACACUGGGACUGAGACACGGCCCAGACUCCUACGGGAGGCAGCAGUGGGGAAUAUUGCACAAUGGGCGAAAGCCUGAUGCAGCAACGCCGCGUGAGGGAUGACGGCCUUCGGGUUGUAAACCUCUUUUAGCAGGGAAGAAGCGAGAGUGACGGUACCUGCAGAAAAAGCGCCGGCUAACUACGUGCCAGCAGCCGCGGUAAUACGUAGGGCGCAAGCGUUAUCCGGAAUUAUUGGGCGUAAAGAGCUCGUAGGCGGUCUGUCGCGUCUGCUGUGAAAUCUGGAGGCUCAACCUCCAGCCUGCAGUGGGUACGGGCAGACUAGAGUGCGGUAGGGGAGAUUGGAAUUCCUGGUGUAGCGGUGGAAUGCGCAGAUAUCAGGAGGAACACCGAUGGCGAAGGCAGAUCUCUGGGCCGUAACUGACGCUGAGGAGCGAAAGGGUGGGGAGCAAACAGGCUUAGAUACCCUGGUAGUCCACCCCGUAAACGUUGGGAACUAGUUGUGGGGUCCUUUCCACGGAUUCCGUGACGCAGCUAACGCAUUAAGUUCCCCGCCUGGGGAGUACGGCCGCAAGGCUAAAACUCAAAUGAAUUGACGGGGAA